rnacentral:lncRNA from 12 species
UAAUGAGACUAUUAAGACAUUAUUCACUUUAAUUGUUUGUUAAAUAUGUUUGGCAAUCCACCUUUUGAAUAUUCUCCCUCUGUAUAUUUGCCGUUACCAAUUCGACAUAAUAUUGGAGACUGAUUUGCAAGCAUACAUUUACACAGGAUUGUUAUCAUCACCCUUGCAACAACAAGUGUAAUACAAGCAUAAUAACAAGCUUUAAUUACAGUGUAUUUAUGUUGAAUUGUACAAACUUGUACAGAUUGUUUUCUCUGCUCUAUUACAGGGUUGUGAUCCACGGCUAACAAAAGAACCACCCAAAAUAAUGACUUGACUUAUUUAUAUCGCUGCCUGUUAGAGGCAUGAAGACUGUACCAAGGCUUCACUACUGGCCAUCUUUAGUGUACCCAAGGAACCAGGACCUCAGCUUGGGAUAAUGGAGACUGCUAAUCAGACAGCGAGUGAAUCUCAAGGUGCAGGACAAACUUUGGCACCUCUUUGCACAGCCCGCUGCUGUGGACUACUAAACCGAACGCUGGCGGUUAUGUUCAUGGUCAGCCUGGCCUUUGCCAUUGUGGUGGGAAAUGUGGUGACGCUUAUUGUUUUCAUGCAGACCCGGCAUUCUCGAACACCUCAGGGCUACCUCAAAGUGUCCCUGGCCUUCGCUGACAUGAUGGUUGGAGUGUUGGUGGUGCCAUUUUCUGUAUACACUGAAAUCUUUCUGAUGGUGACCAGCACUCCACCGCUGUGGUACCAGGGCAUUUCAACAGCCUCACUGGAGGGUGGAUCAGGACCUUGGCAACCCUGCAUGCUGAUAGGUCCAGUUUUUGCUGGAUGCACUUUUGUCUCAAUUAGUACCAUCUUUCUGAUGACAGUGGAGCGCAGUGUGGCAAUACUGCGUCCGCUGCAUAAAGACACUCUUGUGACACGGCAUCGCACCCUGUUCCUAAUUGUCUUGUCCUGGGCUGGCAGCUUCUUACUGGCAAUGGCUCCGCUCAUGCUGAGCAACAGCUUCACGCUAGAGUACAAUGAAUGCAGCCGCAUGUGCAACUAUGCACCCUUACUAAUCGGACAUCAGUUGCCACCAGAUGCAAACAUCCUUCUGCUGUUUCCAGCUUUUGACUUCAGUUUACUGGGUGGGACAUUAGCCGUCAAUAUCCUGUCCUUCACCAGUAUCCGCCGAUACUCCCGCAAACGAAAGCUGCUCUCUGAGGGAAGUCUUGGCACAGAUGCAGGAGUCGGCGGGUGUCCCCACAGGCCCUCUUUUUCUGAUAUCAAAGCAGCUAAAACCAUUGGGAUCCUAACCUUUGCCUUCACAGCCUCAUUCUCUCCUAUCGCAGUAUUUGUGCUGGGGAACGUAGUGGGUUACACCUGGUGCAACUUCUCCUUUUUUGCAUUUUGGAUUCUGACAAGCAAUAGCUGCUGCAAUGUGAUUAUUUAUAGUGUGCGGGACCACCGUUUUAGGAAAGGGCUGACUUUGCUCUUUCAGCGGGACAAAGCGCAACCUCACCCAGAGAAAAGCUGAGAUUUUUUGGACAGGAGCUGGGCAAAGGCUGGCAUUGACUUCACUUUCUUCACCUCCCAUCACUUUCGCCUUGAGAGAUUAAGAACUUGCUUUUCAGGAUCUCUUUCACAAAUGGAUCAGGGACAACAAUAAACAUCAUUCCAGGGAUUCUGGCAGUUGUCAUGAUGUUUUACAGAGAAUAAUAGUCUUUAUUAGCAUAUCCCUGCAGUUAUUUAUUUUUUAUUCAGAUACAUAUGAAAUACAGGGACAUGCCUUAUUGAUUAUUGCGUUUUUCAGCAUAAAUCUGUAAUAUAUGUAUGUGAGACAUUUUUAAUGUGGUUUAUAAAAAUAAUUAACAUUUUGAAAGAGUUCUAUUUGUACCUAAUCUGGCUCAAAAACAAAAAAAAUUAAAAAAAAUAGGUAGGUGUAAUUAGGUAAGUCCACAUAAACAAACCACACAACCUUCCCAUGUGCAAUCACAUGUUAAAAUCACAUGUGAAAUGUAAAAUCAUGUUGUGAAUGUGUGAAACUCAUGUUAUCACAUAUGAACACGUGGACAUAUGUGGGCUUUUUUCAUGGAAGGGAUUGACUUGAACGAUACAGCUGAGGUACUCUUUGUAAACAAAAUUUAAAUACAGUAUUGUGGAUUCUUCUUUCCAUUUUUAGAUUUUUAUUUCUAUAGAAGAAAACUAUUAGAAAAAUAAAUAAAUAAUAAUAAUAAUUAAGUGAGGGAAAAAAUACAAUAUGUAAGUAGAUAACCUUUGUAACAACUAGCUGACACCUUUAACACUGUGAAAUACAUAAUCAGUGCUAUAUUAUUGAUAGAAUAAGACUUCAGAAUUUUUAAUAAACAAUUUGAAGCAAAUGUAUCCUCUGUGUUCACUGAGUGUGGAUAAUAGUAGGUGACAGGGCUAAAAGUCUGUCAGUCUUCUGUUUAAAUAUUCACAGCUUCAGCAGCAGAACCACAUAAAGCUUCUCAGAGUACACACUGACUGCCUCAGGCUGUAACUUCUUCCUCACGUUCAAAGGCUAUUUAUAUAUAUAUAACAUAUUUUCAUUUACAGAUAUCUUUAAACUGCAUGUAAUAAAUAAAAAAAUACAGUAUUUUCUUAAACUUCAAAAUUAAAUAAAAUCUACUUACUACUUAAGUAGUUUUUAACUCGUCUCUUAAGUAAUCCAACAUGUUCUGCGUGACACUCACGGUGUGCAAUACCUGUGAAGACUGACACACAGCUGUUUCUGCACAGUUUUUAAAGGGCCUGUCCAAAUACCCAAACUUGCAGCCUUUGCACUUGACCAUUCAUCUGCUUACAUUUUAAAAUGCAUUUUUAUUUAGAUUUCUGAAUGUAUGUUCAGUAGCCCCUAUAACAGACGACACAAUUUAAUGAUUUCAUUUGUGGUGUGUCUAAAUAAGUUAUAAAAAGCAGUUUCAACUGUAAAAAAAUAUAUACAUACUAAACUUUGCACCAAUAAAAUGUGCAACACUUUAUUAUUUUACUACCAAAUUAUAUGCUAUAUCUUAUUAUCAUUAAUAUUUACCUUAGUACACUAGAAAGGCUUCCGUGACAUCUUGAGAGAUUCGAAUAGUUAGCAUAGAGAGUGUGGAUUUAGUUUGCUUUGGAAUUUUUUUGGACCUGGGACAGUCUUGUUGUGCACUUACUUCCUUUGCACACGUUCUCAAGUAUAAACGCUCACAAGUGGCCAAGACUGCAAAUAAGGAUAUUUGGACAGGCUCAAAAUAUACUCAGCCGUGGAUUAGAGCAUAUGGAUGGGUUUGACACAUGUGCAAAUUCCUCCAUCCUGUAAAAUCACCAUUAAUGUUUACCCCAUUGUCUUUUUGUUUUUUUUUUGUUUUUUUUGUGUAUAACACCCUCUGGCUCAGCCUGCAGUGGUCACAUGCCCCAAAAUCAUUUGAUAUGGACGAAAACUUAACAGUUUCAGUUAACCUUAAUAGAUAUAGCAUAUAAUUUGUUAGCAAAAUGUACAGUGUUGUAAAUUUUAUUGGUACAGAGUACUUUUUUAUAACAUAACUAAACAUACCACAUUUAAAUGUGUCAUCAGUUACACAUAGGGACUUCUUAAAACACAUUUAGAAAGUUGAUAUUAAAGUGCAAAGUAUUGAAAAUAAAAAUAUGAAUGUAUAAAUAAAUAAAUCAAUUCAAAAAUAUAUAUAUAUUGCAAAAUGUACUUUUCAUGUGUUGUAUGCAAAAACAAACAACCUCACACACAUCUGAUGAAUCUUAAUUUUUUUUUAAGUAUGAGGGUGAGUAAAUUUUGAACAUGGCUUUAAAAUAUCUUUGUGUUUUGUUUAUUUAUGUACUUGUUUAAAAAAAAAAAAAUUUUUUUCAAGAUUUUCGCAUACCCAGGAUGAACAGCCAGUCAGUGGAUCCCCUGGUGCUAGUGUUACAUGUACUUUAUUUAAUUAUUUAUUUAUUGUAAUAAUUUUCAAAGAAUUUGAUUAACUUGGUUUAUGCAUUUCUAAUUUAUUUACUAUUAUUUGCUAUAAUUAUAUAUAUAUAGGCAGCUAUAUCCAGCACCCAGGGAGCAACUGGGGGUUCAGUGCCUUGCUCAAGGGCACUUCAGCCAUGGGUACUGAAGGUGGAAGAGAGCACUGUUCAUUCACUCCCCACCCACCUACAACUCUUGCCAGCACCAAGACUCGAACCAGCAAACCUUCUGGUUACAAGUCCAACUGUCUACCCAUUAGGCCACAGCUGCCCCUGUUAUUUGUUAUUUGUUAUUUGAAACAUUAAAUUCUGUUAGCUAUAUGAACAUUUUUUUAUUUUUAUUUUUUUAUUUUUUUGCCAAUCUAGGGUGUGCCCUGUUAUACUAGUUAUAACUCCAAAUUUGGUUAAUUAUAAUCUAAUUUGUUAUCGAUUCAUUGGAGAUCUGGUGUUAAAAAUCAUUUUUGGCAUGUCUUGGCACCUAUUGUGUGACCUGUGUACCACCCACCACAACCUUACAGGGCACACACUAGUCCUAACUCCAAGUGAUUCCCCUGAGGUGAACUGGUAGUGUUCCGAAGGCCAUUGUUUCUGUGCACAAACCAAGCUGUAGGAUCAUUGCUCAUCAUCCUGAAAGAUUUGUGACACCACAUCCAACUCCAAGUCCUUACCUGG